rnacentral:tRNA from 1 species
GGUGAAGUGACUGAAUUAAAGGUGAUAGACUGUAAAUCUAUUUAUGGGGUUAAUUCCUCCUUCACUA